UACGUAGGGUGCGAGCGUUGUCCGGAAUUAUUGGGCGUAAAGAGCGUGUAGGCGGUCCGGUAAGUCAGCUGUGAAAGUCAAGGGCUCAACCCUUGAAAGCCGGUUGAUACUGUCGGGCUAGAGUCCGGAAGAGGCGAGUGGAAUUCCCGGUGUAGCGGUGAAAUGCGCAGAUAUCGGGAGGAACACCAAUGGCGAAGGCAGCACUCUGGGACGUGACUGACGCUGAGACGCGAAAGCGUGGGGAGCAAACAGGG
rnacentral:rRNA from 1 species